rnacentral:lncRNA from 1 species
UCCUAGAACAGAAAACACAGCUGUUGACCCAGACUGGGCUAGUCUUCUCCCUGUUGCAACACCAUUUAAAUCUUUCAAAGCUCCUUUCAAAGCACUUGAAAUGGGUAUUUUGACCCUAGAAAGGGGGUUCUAUGACAAAGGAGGGAAGCCAAAACUUAAAUAUUUCUGGCUUUCUACAUUUGGCAUGUGAUUUCUGCACUGAGUGGCCAGCAGCAUCAGACUUGUGAGAAAUAUGAGUAGCACUGCCCAAUUAAAACUCAUUUAACUGAUUAUGUUUCAGCAGAAUUAUCCAUUCAAAAUCCCAAAGUAGAGUAGGAACCUUAUCGAGUAAACUUUCCAAUCUGAAUUUAAGUGAUCAUGUGAAGAAAAAAUAUACUAAACUUGCAAGAGAGCAAUACUUUAAGACCACAGAAAUGUUCACCAGCAAAACGACAGAAUUAUGAUUAUGCAAUUUAUCCACUCACAGUUUCAUACCUUGAAUCUUAAACCAGAGAGUAAGAGAAAAAAGAUGGAAGCACAUGGGAAGGAAUAUCUAUGAAAAACAGUUCAUAAAAGAAAAAUAUAAAAAAAUUUACAAAUUAAAGCUACUGAUAAAAACAAAAAAAGAACACUAUUGUUCUAAACAAGGAUCACAAAAUAUCUGUUCAUUUUAAGAAUGAGAAGAAGGAUAAAAAUAGCAUGUCUAAGUACAAAGAAUCAGUGGAAAGGA